rnacentral:rRNA from 1 species
UACGUAGGCAGCAAGCGUUGUUCGGAAUUACUGGGCGUAAAGGAGUGUGUAGGCGGUGCUCCAAGUCUGGUGUGAAAUCUCCCGGCUUAACUGGGAGGGUGCAUUAGAAACUGGAAUGCUAGAGGAUGGGAGAGGUAAGCGGAAUUCCUGGUGUAGCGGUGAAAUGCGUAGAUAUCAGGAGGAACACCUGUGGUGUAGACAGCUUACUGGACCAUUUCUGACGCUGAGACACGAAAGCGUGGGUAGCAAACAGG